rnacentral:tRNA from 1 species
GCAUUGGUCGUUCAAUGGUAGAAUUCUUGUCUCCCAUGCAGGAGACCCAGGGUUGACUCCUGGCCAGUGUA